rnacentral:rRNA from 1 species
UACGGAGGGGGCUAGCGUUGUUCGGAAUUACUGGGCGUAAAGCGCACGUAGGCGGCCUUGUAAGUUAGAGGUGAAAGCCCGGGGCUCAACUCCGGAACUGCCUUUAAGACUGCAUCGCUUGAAUCAUGGAGAGGUCAGUGGAAUUCCGAGUGUAGAGGUGAAAUUCGUAGAUAUUCGGAAGAACACCAGUGGCGAAGGCGACUGACUGGACAUGUAUUGACGCUGAGGUGGCGAAAAGCGUGGGGAGCAAACAGG